GCCGCCUUAGCUCAGUGGUAGAGCAGGGCACUUGUAAUGCUCAGGUCCGCGGUUCAAAUCCGCGAGGCGGCUUCA
rnacentral:tRNA from 1 species